UUAGCCCUAUCGCAACAGGGCAUGUGCAGGAGGCCGGUCAUGUUUAUCGAUAAUGUGGUGUUUGCCGGGGUGCUGACUGUCAGCCUCAUGGUGCUGUUUUUUGUUGGGUUUGGGAUUUUUAUCUGGAAGGACGCUAACAAGCGUAAAGAACCGUAAGUCUUUCUGGGUUGUAUGAGCACGCAAGGCAUUUUGGGCGACUUCGGUUGCCCUUUUUUUUU
rnacentral:sRNA from 1 species